rnacentral:rRNA from 1 species
AUUGAACGCUGGCGGCAUGCCUUACACAUGCAAGUCGAGCGGCAGCGCGGGGGCAACCCUGGCGGCGAGCGGCGAACGGGUGAGUAAUACAUCGGAACGUGUCCUUUCGUGGGGGAUAACCAGUCGAAAGACUGGCUAAUACCGCAUGAGAUCUCACGAUGAAAGCGAGGGACCGCAAGGCCUCGCGCGAUUGGAGCGGCCGAUGUCGGAUUAGCUAGUUGGCGGGGUAAGAGCCCACCAAGGCGACGAUCCGUAGCGGGUUUGAGAGAACGACCAGCCAACCGGGGACUGGGGCACGGCCCGGAGUCCUACGGGAGGCAGCAGUGGGGAAUUUUGGAAAAUGGGCGCAAGCCUGAUCCAGCCAUGCCGCGUGUGUGAAGAAGGCCUUCGGGUUGUAAAGCACUUUCGGCCGGAACGAAAUCGCCCGUGUUAACAGCGCGGGUGGAUGACGGUACCGGAAGAAGAAGCACCGGCUAACUACGUGCCAGCAGCCGCCGUAA